AUAGAAACCAAUACGUUACCUUCGUGUAGACAAUACACACAAUUCACAGAAAAAAAUUAAGUAUUUAUUUUCAAUUAUUCUGGCAAUACCGCUUCAGUUUAUUAGCUGUGAGAGGGAUACUUGCAAAUCAAGAAUGAUAGAGAAAGAGAUUACGCAAUGCGCAUGUUUGUUUUCAGUCAGCUGUUCUUGCUGCCGUCACGGUUGACUUAUUAUUCGCCUGCGCCUUUGAAUGUGAAUUCGAAUUGUAUUUUCGUGUGUAGUAUUAAUUGUGAAAUUUUAUAUUUUUUAAAAUGAGUUGCGCAGUGUUCGGAUGCAAUAAUAACAAUGUUAAAAAUAGUGCUACGAAAUGGGGAUUUUUCCAUUUCCCUUAGGAUAAAACAGUACUAAAACAGUGGAUUCAUUUUUGUGCACUUCGCGCCAGAAGCCUUCGAAAGAAAUUUGCAGUUUGAAAUGGUUCGCGGAAUCUAACGAAGUUGCAACCUAGCGCUUUUCUCACGUUAACCUGAUUAACUCCUGCAGAGGCUAAUGAACGGCAAAAAAGGAUAGAGUCAAGUUUAAACCAAGACAUUUUAGAAAAUUUGUUGGCGUAAUCAAGUUAAAAGGCGGUCUUCACGAUCACCCUGACAGGAAGGAGUUGAAGUAUACGCUGGUUUCCAAUAUACUUGGUCACAACGCAGGACCGAUUACAGAUGAAGGAAAUGUUGAAGUCGACAACACCCCAGAUUUGGAAGGGAAUUACUUAUCCCUAACCGGUAAUAUUUUCCAACGUGUGUCAGUUGCUCUAAAUUCCGCUGAGCCAAUUGAAAAAAAUGAUGACUUGAAGAUUCUCAACAACGACGGGCUUGAAAAUUUGGCAGGGUAGAUCUGCCACAAUCUUGGUAAAGACAACCCCGAAAUUUGUGCUAAUUCAGAAAAUUGUUCGUCUUAUACUUGGGUGGAUCACCUACCUGAAGAAGGACUCUCAAAACCAACAGAUAUAUUGAUGGAGCAUAUGAGAGCCUUGCAAGCAGUAUUUGACGACUUAAAUGGUACUGAUUUGCAUAUAUGUACCAACUACGUCCAGAAGCACUUAGAUUUAAGUAAUUUUGUAAAUUGUAGCACCAAAGUGAAAUAAUUGUUUUUCAAAGAAUGUAUUUUAGGAUUCGUUCCUUAAAUAAAUAUGUACAGCAAAAAAAGAAAAUUAAAUAAGACAAUAAAAUGAUAGUUGGUCACAAAAUAUUCAA